rnacentral:rRNA from 1 species
UGCGAACUCCUACGGGAGGCAGCAGUGGGGAAUCUUGCGCAAUGGGCGAAAGCCUGACGCAGCCAUGCCGCGUGAAUGAUGAAGGUCUUCGGAUUGUAAAAUUCUUUCACCGGGGACGAUAAUGACGGUACCCGGAGAAGAAGCCCCGGCUAACUUCGUGCCAGCAGCCGCGGUAAUACGAAGGGGGCUAGCGUUGCUCGGAAUUACUGGGCGUAAGGGGAGCGUAGGCGGACAUUUAAGUCAGGGGUGAGAUCCCGGGGCUCAACCUCGGAAUUGCCUCUGAUACUGGGUGUCUUGAGUAUGAGAGAGGUAUGUGGAACUCCGAAUGUAGAGGUGAAAUUCGUAGAUAUUCGGAAGAACACCAGUGGCGAAGGCGACAUACUGGCUCAUUACUGACGCUGAGGCUCGAAAGCGUGGGGAGCAAACAGGAUUAGAAACCCUAGUAGUCCAGAUG